UACGUAGGGGGCAAGCGUUGUCCGGAAUUAUUGGGCGUAAAGAGCUUGUAGGCGGUUUGUCGCGUCUGCUGUGAAAAUCCGGGGCUCAACCCCGGACUUGCAGUGGGUACGGGCAGACUAGAGUGUGGUAGGGGAGACUGGAAUUCCUGGUGUAGCGGUGAAAUGCGCAGAUAUCAGGAGGAACACCGAUGGCGAAGGCAGGUCUCUGGGCCACUACUGACGCUGGAGAAAGCGAAAGCAUGGGGAGCGAACAGG
rnacentral:rRNA from 1 species